rnacentral:misc_RNA from 1 species
GAUGAAGAACGUAGCGAAAUGCGAUACGUAAUGUGAAUUGCAGAAUUCAGUGAAUCAUCGAAUCUUUGAACGCAUAUUGCGCUCUCUGGUAUUCCGGAGAGCAUGCUUGUUUGAGUAUCAGUAAACACCUCAACUCCCCUUUCUUUUUUGAAAUGGGAGCUGGACUUGAGUGAUCCCAACGCUUUUCUCACCGAAAAGUGGCGGGUUACUUGAAAUGCAGGUGCAGCUGGACUUUUCUCUGAGCUAAAAGCAUAUCUAUUUAGUCUGCCUAAAAACAGAUUAUUACCUUUGCUGCAGCUAACAUAAAGGAGAUUAGUUCUUGUGCUGACUGAUGCAGGAUUCACAGAGACAGCUUCGGCUGGCCUUUGUAAACUCGAUCUCAAAUCAAGUAAGACUACCCGCUGAACUUAAGCAUAUCAAUAAGCGGAGA